AUCAAAUGUGAUAAUACAAGCUGCUAUAAAUUUGUCAAGAAUCCCAUAAAUAUUUAAGAUCAAAACACAGUGGAUUCGACAUUAUUUUUAAGAGAUCACUGUCUUAAAAAGGGAUCAUUGAACUUCAAUAUAUUCAUACGCCAAGCAAUUGGCGGAAUUUUUACAAAACCCCUCGAUGAAAAGAGGGAAUGUUGCUAUAUUCGAUGUGAACUUGGAAUGUCUCAACCAAUGUGAUAUUUUUGGAUUCUUAAAAUAAUUUAUAAGUAUGAGUUGAGUCGUAUUUGAAAAAAAAAAUAGUCGGGACGGAAAUGGAUUUCUAUCCUUAAUUCGACAAAAAAUUUCCUCUUGAUUGUUAACUUGAUUAUAUGUGAUAAAUGAGAAAUCAAAAAAGUAACUGGUAUUAUGAUUAAGAAUAUAAAAUAAAUCUAUGUGCUUAUGUUGCAAAAAAAUUGUAGAGAUGGAUGCCUAAGGGGAAAUUAAAAUAUGUGAUGAAAAGAUUUAUGCGCUUGCAAAGAUUAAUCCCGCUCCAAUCCGCCAAAAUAGCUAUUUAUUCAAUCGAAGAAUGAAGAGAAUAGAGUAUCAUAAGUUAAAACAAUUGACAUUUAAUUGUCAAAAACUUUCUAAACUAACAACAAAAGUUAGGCCCCGACCAAACUUGAAGUUCGGUUGACAUAAAGACAAACUAGCUUCAGAGUUGCAUGGGCGAACAUACAUUGAAUCGAUUGGAGGACAACUAUGAACAGUGACCCCAGCAAAACGAUUUUCAGCAACAAUGCGUCAAUCAAAUGACAAAUAGACAGGAAUCCCAUUUAAGUACGGACCCUUCUCCUCUAUCCCCCGUUCCCAAGCGUUAAUGAACCUAAAAGGGACAAAGAGAAGCAACAGCUUUUGAACUCUCUGCCCAUUUUGAUGAAGACACAAAAGGGUAGAAGACUUGAGAACCUUGAGAGACACAUUUGGUGAUUUUAGACAUUAGAACUUGAGAAACUUAAGAGAUUGAGAAACUUGAGAGACACAUUUGGUUUUGGACAUUGGGUAGUAAUUUUUGUUUUGGUAGUUGCUGAUAUGUAUUUGCAUCUUGAUUGCUAAUGCUAUUGGAUAUUUAAGCUAUGUAGUUGAUAUUCUAGUUAGUGAUGUUUAUCAAAUAUUGAAUUAGGAUGUUGAUUAUUCUUGACUUACUAUCUCUCAUGCGGUGGAUGCGUCUGUGAAUCAUGCUUGAAUAACAUUGAUGAUCGAUAUAUGAUAUCUGCAUGCAUAAUGUUGUUAGCUAAAAUUGCUGGAAACUAACCUGAAAGAUAUCAUAAAAAGCAAUUAAGGGACAAAGUGAAAAGCACUUGACGAUCCCAAUUCGGAUACUCUAUCCAAUGUGUUUUACUUUCAAAGUAUUGAUAUCUAUCUUAGACAAACGUGAAACCUAUUUCAUGCAUGAAAACUACAGUAAAAAAUGAUAAGCAUGAAGCUAGGGGGAGCAUAUAGUAAGGGGGAGUUUUUGAAAUAAAUGCAUAAAAACGAUUUUCAAAAAUAAGAUUGUGUCAUCAUCAAAAAGGGGAGAUUGUUAGCAUAACAUUUUAAUUGAUUUGAUGAUUAAACUUAUACAUAUUAAAACUAUAUUUAAAUAUACUUUGAAAUCAUUUUAGCAGAUAGCCCAAACAAGAUGCAUGAUGAAAUAUUUGUCAAUUAAAAUAAUGUCUCACAACACUCGGUCAAAUUUUAAUCCAUAAGGUUCAAAAGUAAAACAAAUGUUUACAAUGCCUCAUGAAACUUAUAGGAGGAUUUCAAAACAAACUCUACAAUUCAAUUUGAUUGAUUGUUGUUUUGGUAGAAAAGAACAGGAAAUGCAAAACGCCAGCAAAUUCACAAGUAGGAAGUCCGGAAUGGCUUGAAGUUGACCUCCUAAGUUUGAAGUUGACAUCAUAAGUUUGACAGGAAGGUUUGGCUGACGUCAUAAGUUUCAAGUUAGGAGCCUGGGGUCCUUAAGGUGGAUACCACAUCCUAAGUUUUGGACAGAAAGUUUGGCUGACGACCUAAAAAGAAUAGGACGUCCUAACGUUCUCAAAAAUAGGACGGACCUAAGUUUCAAAUUAGGAGACUAAGUUCAGAUCUGAAGACCUAAGUUUGACAGAAGGAUUUGUGACACCGCACCUAAUAAGAAGUACUAGGACGUCCUAAGUUCAAAAUAGAAGACCCUAAGUUUCAACUAUAGGACGACCUAUUUUUUCAAGCUUAGGACGACCUAGUUCAAGAGCCUGAGAAAACUAAGUUUGAAACAAAAGGAUUUGGGGACGACCUAAGAAAGCUUAGGACGUCCUAAGUUCAAAACAGGAGGACCUAAGUUGACGUCCUAGUUCCAGUUUUAAAUCCUCCGCGUCCAAAUUGCAGAUCAACGGCUGAGUUCAAAAACGACCGGGUAGUUGAGAGAAUUUAAUGCGGCAACGAUUAUAAACUCAUUUGGGUUAUAAUUGCAACCUUGGGGUUGUUAAGAAGACAUGAAGUGCCAUGAAAUUCAUCUUAUCACUUGUGAAAAAAAUACUUUCAACUCUUGACAUUCAGUGAGCUUUAUUUGUAAAAAGAUCAAAAGAUCAAAAAAGAACAAAUCACUCAUAGAGGCGGAACUAUCAUUUUGUUAUUUAUUUUUCUUUGAGUUAAUUAGAAUUGAUUGCUAAACAUUUACUUAUUUAUUGAGAGAUGAUCACCUUGGGUUGAUAUAUUGUACUCCAAGAGAGAUUUGCUCUGAAGACUAGAGGUUCUUAGUGUUGUUAUUCCAAAAGAGGGGAAAUCUAUUUGAAGACUAGAGGUACUAUAGUGUUGCAAAAGGUUUUUCAGCACCAGCAAGCUUGAUGAAGAUUAGUGGCAACCAAGGAGACUGGGAUGUGGAGUAGGCCAAGGAUUGGCCGAACUACUAUAAAAUGGUGUUGCAUUUUUCAUCACUGAAACUCCUUAUAGCUUCCGUAUUGUAUUAUUACUUACCUUACUCUUUGAUAUCAUUCCUAUCUAUCAUUGCAAGUAUUCAAUUAAGGAGUAAUUAUUAGAAAAUUUAAUUGUGAUAAUUCUUAAUUAGGCAAAUUAGUGCAAACCCAAUUCACCCCCCAUGCGGUUUGCCACCCAUACGGAGUAGAAGUGUAGCAAGUUUUUUCAAAUGAUAAUUUGUGGCUAGAUGGCUUGGUUGACCCUAAAUAGAUAACAUCCCUGGAUGGUAGUCAACUGGAUCGAGUGAUACUAUCAUGGAACUCAACUAACGUAGGAUUAAAAAAUAAAAUUGAUACCAUACGAGCAACAAGUAGAUAAUCGAACUAGAAAACAGAUGUAGAAGGGGGGAAAAAAAAAUUUGGCUUCCGCCAGAAGAUAAGGAAGAAUGGGAGGGAAAAGUUUGGUUCUAUUAAAAUCGAAGAAGAAGGAGAGGGGAAAGUUUGGCUUCCGCUAGAUCAAAGAUUGAAAGAAAAGAAAAAAUAAUCAUUUUUCUCAUUAAUCAUAAUCAUAAUUUGUCUUUCAAUUGUAAUCAAAACUCUCUUUAAGUAGAAAAAAUAACAUAACCCUAAAAAUACUAAGUCCUCAAAAUACUAUGAAAUAAAAUAGGCUCAAUAAGCUACUACUAAUCAGGCUGCCCAGUAGGCUAAAUAACUUAAACAAAAUAAAAUUCUAAUUAACUUAAAAUAAAAAGAUAAUUAAUUAUAAAAUUAUAAAAUAUAAAAAUCAAUAAAUAACAAUGUGUAUUUUUGUUCCGCAUCACCAACACUUUGAGUAAGUCAUUAUACAUGAAUAAAACUUGUGUGAACUCAAACGACUCAAAGCAAGUAUAUAUCAAAAAUAUGACAAUAUUGGUUAUUGAAUUUCUUAAGGUUUAUAAAAACAAGGAGAUGUGCAAAUUUAGUUCGACUUAUUUUUUAAUCACGCCAUUACUCACAAAGUAAUAAUACCCAUAAAUGACUUAGGAAAGAAUCCAAAAUAACUCAAAUUUGUAUAGGCACACUUUGCAGAUAAGAGCCAAAUAAGCAAUGUGCAAGUGCUUGAAUGUCCAAACAUAAUAAUUGAUUUCUAAGUUCAAUGUGCAAGAGCAAUAAGUAAGAAAUACUAAUUGAACUUGAGAAAUAAGGUUUCAAGGUCAAAGUAUCAUUAUAUGCAACAUAUAAUGUAAUACCUGAUUUGUUAUGUUUGGGUUAUAAUGAAAGAUUUAUAAAACUUUUGGGAUAAAAUUAGAAAUAUAUUUACAUUUAAAUAAUAUAAUCUAAUUAUGUAAAAUGAAGGGGUAAAAGUGGCCAAUUUUUAGUUAGUGGAGGUGUGACUUUCGGUGGAAAGCCCAAAGACAGAAGAAAAGAAAAGAAAAGAAAUGCAUAAUGGGGGAACCAAAAGAAAAAAAAAGAAGAAAAAAAAUAAUAAGAAAAUCUAUAUUAUAUAUUGAGAUAGUAUAAUUAAUAUUAUAAAAGAGAGAAAGUGUUGUGAGACUGAGAGAGAGAAUGGCAACGGCGGGGAAGAAAGAAGGAAAGAAAGGAGAGAGAGCUCAGAUAUGGUGAAAGAAACGAGAGAAUGAUAAUUAUUAGUGUGGUUGUCUUUGGAUAUGAAAGACAUGGGUGUAGAUCAACGGUGAGAUGAUGUCGGAUCAAGUGAAAUUUUAUAUUAUAUCCGGGAGCCAGAUCUACAUACUAAUGAUUCACUUUGAGGUAAACAGAUGUAUAAAUAUGCUUUCUAACUCCGGAUUUAUUUUCUAAAAUAUCUGAUUUUGUAUUCCUCUUGAGCAUGUGUGCUAUACUGUUGAAUCCACAUGGUAUUUUGUUGGCAUCCCGUGAUAUGUAUGAUUUUAUUGUUUUUUUGAUGGCUAAAUGCUAUGGGAUGGAAUGAUACAUGUAACUGAGUGAUCUGCAACCGUUCCACAUGGACCGGGAAACGCCGAGAGCUGGAGACCGUGGAUUGAGGCCCGAUCACUAGUAAAUGUUCAGGAAAGACCUGGUAAUGAGAUCUUUGAUGAAAUAUGGAGGAUUCGUUGUACUACUCUGAUAUUUUGUUGU
rnacentral:lncRNA from 1 species